UACGUAGGGUGCGAGCGUUGUCCGGAAUUAUUGGGCGUAAAGGGCUCGUAGGCGGUUUGUCGCGUCGGGAGUGAAAUCCACUGGCUUAACUGGUGGCUUGCUUUCGAUACGGGCAGACUGGAGGUAUGCAGGGGAGAACGGAAUUCCUGGUGUAGCGGUGAAAUGCGCAGAUAUCAGGAGGAACACCAGUGGCGAAGGCGGUGCUCUGGGCCGGAACUGACGCUGAGGAGCGAAAGCGUGGGGAGCAAACAGG
rnacentral:rRNA from 1 species